AGAUUGAACGCUGGCGGCGUGCCUAACACAUGCAAGUCGAGCGGUAACAGGUGUAGCAAUACAUGCUGACGAGCGGCGAACGGGUGAGUAAUGCUUUGGAAUCUUCCCAGUAGUGGGGAAUAACCAGUCGAAAGAUUGGCUAAUACCGCAUACGUCUGUAAAGGGAAAGCGGGGGCUCGUAAGACCUCGCGCUAUUGGAUGAGCCAAAGUCGGAUUAGCUAGUUGGUGGGGUAACGGCCUACCAAGGCGACAAUCCGUAGCUGGUCUGAGAGGACGACCAGCCACACCGGAACUGAGACACGGUCCGGACUCCUACGGGAGGCAGCAGUGGGGAAUAUUGGACAAUGGGGGAAACCCUGAUCCAGCGACGCCGCGUGUGUGAAGAAGGCCUGCGGGUUGUAAGCACUUUUAGUGGAGACAAAAGCUACGGAUUAAUACUCUGUGGUCUUGAUUUAACCCAAAGAAAAGCACCGGCUAACUCUGUGCCAGCAGCCGC
rnacentral:rRNA from 1 species